UGCGUCCCGGACAAAGGUCUCCAGUGGCGCCAGUCUUGGACGCGUGACUCGGUCCUUCUGGCCACUCUUUUGCGUGGUGGGUCGUUGGAUUCAGGACUGCAGAAUCCCGGAGAUCAGGAGCGGUGGUGGGUCUCAGGGCACAGGCCUCCCCAUUCGCUCGCCGGCGGCCGUUUCACCCUGGGAAGAGUUGCGGGAGCUGCUCCGCGCUGCCCUCGGCUGUUCCUGAGCGCCCAGGAGCCCAGCGCAAGUCACCCCGGACUCCAGCUAGCGGCCGCGGGCACGCCAGCGCAGCGCUAGCGGUGGCCAAGAGGUGGUCUGGCAGGGCGGUGGACCUGUGUGCCGCGGUCAUGAUCAAGCUUGGAGAGGUAAGAGAGUUUUUUCACUUUAGCUUCUUGGCAUUUAAAUAUUUAAUGGAUAGAUUUCUAAGAGGGGCCCUUCUGCAGGGGUGCCUUUCACAGCCAGGGAUGUGUCCGAGGUAGGUUGCUCUUGAACUCGAAGCCAGCCAGCUUGCAAAGAAUGCCAAGCCGUCCUCUCUCCAAAACUUGUGAUUCUAUAAAACAUAGCUUCCGACCUCAGAUGUGGGGGCUUCUAGCCAUGUAGAAAUAUUUAUCGAGCAUAUAAAAUAUUAUAGCGGGCAUCUUAAACAAUAGAAAAGAGAAAAUAUCCGUGGGGGUUUGUUUGGAAAUGUUAUUUGGAAGCUAAAGUCCUUUCUUGAAAAUUUGAACUGGUUUAUUAUUAAACCCUUACUUCUUUAAAAAAAAAAUAUUUAAUGCUGGAUGGAUGUUUUCAGAGAGCUGCUCUAAGUGUAGCAGCCAAGAUCCAGGGUGCAGUGGAAGUUCUUGCUUAUGGGGCAGUUAAAUAAAGCAAAACAAAAAAACCCAGUUCAUAACCUCGUGUAAUAAGUGCAUCUAUAGGUGGCUUACACAGCCCAGCUAGCAGGCCUGAGGAGGCUUAUGGGGACCCAAAAAGGGGUGAAAGAAUUUGUCUUUGACAUAAUUACAGGGUUUUUUAGGUAACACUAAAUUAAUUUCUUCAAAGUUGGAUUUCAGAAGCCUAGAUGUUCUCUCCAAGCCAGCAAUAGCUUCAUUUUAUUUGAGCACAUGGGUGCUCAUGGAUAUCUGGGAAAGAAAACUGUGUCCCUAUAUGUGUGUACCUAGCCUGGGUUAAAACUAAACUACCGCUGUGGGGAUUAAGUCUGCUUUCAUAUAGUUGUGCCGCAGGUGUGAAUAUGCUGACCCUCUCUCCACAUUUCAGAUGUGGUUUGGAUAGCCUUGUUGGGGCCAUUCGCCUCAAAUCACAUACAGUGGUGGGGGGGGACACUUAUUUCUAUAAUAUCCCAGCUCCGUGAGCUGGCACUUAAGGCCUUGUUUCCGGGAAUGUGGAUGAGGCCAGAGGAGUCCAGGCCUGCUUUAUACCUGCCUUCCUGGACUGCGAGCUCUAGUUGGUCCUGAGUAAGAUCCUCAAAGGGGGGGGAGUCUCUUUUAGCGGAGUCUGAACCAAAUACUAACCUUGACCAUUUUUUUGUUUAUGUGUUUUUUUUCUUUACUAGUCUGCUUUACGUCGCUCACUGUCCCUGUUUUAAGCUUUUGUUUAUUACUUAAUCAGAGGCAUUUAGCAGACAGAAAACUCUGGGUGAGACAUUUGGGAGCCAUCUCGGCUGUAGACGUGCGUCUUUGGAAGGUAUGCCACCCAGAGCUGCUUGGUAGCAUUGGCCGUGAUGGGGUCCUUAGCAGAAGCUCACUCUCCUUGCUGGAAAAAUGCUGGCAGUGUUUUCCCUUGUCCACAGAAGGACGGAGAUUGUGUGGUGAUUAGUUGAGGUUCUUCAUCAUGCUUAGGACUAUAGCAGACGCCCAAACAAGUGGACAUCUCUACUACUCUCCAGGCCAUUGUGUGGAACCCAAGGCAAGCAGGAAAGACCAGAGCGUCAGAGGAGGUGGUUCCAGGGCCUUGAACCAGGGCACUAUUUUGACAAGUAUCAGGGUCCUAUAUAUUGCCAGAAUGUACCCUAGUACUUGGGAAACAACAGAUUAAGCAUGUUUGUUUCCAGGGAGGCCAUCCAGGACAUCUUCCCAUGCUCAAAUAGCUUGUUUGGGCAACAUUUGGGGGGGGGCGUAAUACACAUACACAAAAGAGGAAACAUGCACUUGGUUUAUUUUUCUCCCUGUUGAAUUUAAUAUAAGAAACAGGUAAGCGGGCCCUGGUGGAACAGACAGUUGUGUGGACUCCCUGGGGGCAUGAGGCUCUGUUUCUGAUAUUAAAUCAGGGCCGAGCCGAGGGUGGCCACAGUAGAGCCUCACAAUGCUUCACACUGUCCUGGGCAAGUGAUCUCCAGGGCAGAUCACUUGGGCAUGCAGGCUGGAUUAAAAACUAGGCUGGUGAAAGCUAGGCCCACUGUGCGUUCUACUGUGGUAGCAUGCUCCAGGCUUUGUAGUGGUAUGACUUGCAUCUGGCUGGUGACCAUUGGUGAAACCUGUCUUUCUGCCUCUAUCUAAUCACCAGAAGGACACAGAGCCUGCCCCAGCUCAUCAUAGACAAGGUCCUACUGGAAGGCAGGAGGAGAGGGGUGUGGAGGACUUUGCCCACCCAGAUGGGCAUCCUACUGGGCAGGUACUCCUUUCUGUCCAGGAGAACCUCUUAUGUGCCUUGAAAGAGGAACAGUGCUCCUGGGAAGGGCCAGGCCUUCCGGGCCAGGCAAGAAACAUCUUGUAACUUCCAUGCCUCAUUUUUUAUUGUUACGGUUGGAUUUUCAUGGUUGUAUUUGCAUGUGUGGAGUGAAGGAAGAAUACUGAUAUAGAACUCAGUAUGCUGGAGUGCCCAAGCUCACCCUGGGGUGUGGAAUUGGAGCAUUCCAGGUUCUAAUUUGUCCUUGUCUUCGGCUCACCAUGUGACCCAGCAAAGUCCUGUUGCCUCCCCAAGCCUGUAUCCUGAGCAUUCCAAAGAGGAAUACAGAUGCCAAUCUCACAGGAUGCAGACAGCAUUAUUUUUAUAAGGUGCUAUUGCUGGCAUGUUGUCUGGAGCCAUUCAAUGGCUAUGGUAUGGUUAUUAUUGUAAAUGAAAUCACUAUAAUUACUUAUAUAUUUAUCUUUUAAUACCUUGUGAUUGUAUUAUAUAUGAUAUGUUAUAUUCUAGAUAGCAGAUCCCAUUUCUGGUUUAUCCAGAAAGGACACCAAGAAGUUGACUUCCCAGCCAGUGUCUUAGGGUAGGCUGGUGGGAACUUGCAAAUUCAGAAUCUUCCAUAUCUCAGGGGACUUUGUCUGAAUGUGACCACUAUAUGCAUUAUGGAUCUUGCCUUGGGUACAGGAGAUGAGACCCUUGGGGAUUCAGAAUGUGCUACCCCUUCACAGGGCAGUAUGGGGUCUUACUGGAAAAUGACAUCAGGGUGUUUGUCCGGGUCUGAAUUCUGUUCCGGAUAGUGGGCUAGAGUGGCCCUGGCAACUUCGAGCAUCCUUGCUAGAGAUGCAGAUAGGGAUAUGGUAAAGUUUUGCCACUCUGGCAAAUGAAGGGUACAUUUACCAAAUAGCUUGUUUUAGAGAAAUUUUCUCUUGGCUGUUUGUUCAGAAAGACCCAGAAAGAUUGUCUUUUUCUCAAAGCACCUUGUUGGAACAAAAAGAAACUGUAAGAGCAUUAGCCACACUUUCUGAUGUUAUCAGAACGAUGUGUGAGAAAAAGCAACAAUUGUCUCCAGGCAAAGACAAUGGAUCUUUUAUAUAGGAUAUUUAUUUUGAGGACUGACCAGUGUUCCAUUGGCUGGGACAGUCAUUAGAGUUCAAGCAUUCGAGUAUUGUGAGCCCUGGCCUCACAGUCAAGGGCAGAGAUUUAUGGGGGAGUGAAACGAAAGUCCCCUGAGUUGUGGUUCUUGGGAAUUUUCAACUGGUAUGCCCAUCUUUUUUUGUAGAGUGCAGUUUAAACUUAACAAAUUUAUUUUUUUCCGUCUGUGAUUUCUUUCCAAAGGCCAACUGGGGGUACGUCUGCAGCCCUUGAAAAGGUGGCCAGGUUUUGGGCUAUGGGACUGCUGAAGUUUCCCUUAGGUCAAAUCUGAUCAGUCUAGCUGUGUUCCAGAAUGCAAGUGAAUAAAAUGGACUCAAAGAGGCAGAAUCACUUCCCAGGGGCUCCAUCAGACAGCGUGGGCCCACAUUUGUGGUUUUCCAAUGUCAUCUCCUCCUCCUCCUCCUCCUCCUCCUCCUCCUUACAUCCUCUUCUCAGAUGAACUUGGGAGUGGCCUGUAGUUUGUGGGAUAACUGAGUGGAGAAGCCCACACUGGCCCUCCUUUAUAUUCCCAUCUAUCGAAAGUAUUUUGUGACUCGUGAUAAACAAACCCAGUGUGUGGAACCAUGAAGACUGUCUCCUGAAUUGGCUGUUUGCACUGGAUUUAGCCUCGAGGCCUCUAUACCAAGGAGAGUAUUCCCAGCCUACCCUCUAAGGACUGAUCUGGCCCAAGCUUUGCUUAGUGGUAGGCCACAUUAAAAAUGAGGCCAGUGGCUGAGUCUCACCUUGGAGAUUCAGAGUGGCCUUGCUGUGGCCAGGGAUUGUAUAGAGUGCUGGAGAGGGUCGGCAUUAUGCAAUUCUGGGAGUUCCAAGUGGCACCCUUAGUCAGAGGACACCUGUUACUUAGGUGACCCUUAGUUAAGACACUUCUACCAGGGCUAGUGGAGGAAGACAGACAAGAGACAGGUCCUGGCAGGGAACACUUAUUCAUUACUCAGAAGAAUUUUUUUUUUUUGGUAAAUAAUAUUUGUCUUCAGAGUAAGGUUUUCUUUUUAAAAAUUGCUUUUGUUCUUUUUGUUUAUAUUAAUCUGUGCCUCCAAAAUGCCAAGCCAAGAAACUUUUAGAGAUGUCCAGACAUUCUCUCAGCCUGUGAGUGCAGGUGUGGAAAAACUGAAAUCACAGAAAAGAAUGAAAUUGUGUGUCCUGGGCAGAAAGCAAAAACAAAACCCUGAAAACAUGAGUUAUAUUCACUUUCUGGAGGAAGCAGGCACAAAAUUCAGUGUAGUCUCGCCAUCAGAUUUUAGCAUCUUCUAGUUGGAGUUUGGGAUCUGGAGUCUCCUCCUUAUGAUGCAGAGGUGUGUGCACAGGUAUCUGGAAUUCCCUGUCCAGGCAAUGGGAGGGAGAGUUUGUGAGAGGUGAUGGCCAUCAGGCUGGGAUAGGUUGUCCUUGUGAUUGUAACAUGUACACAUGAGGCAGACAGCCUCAUGGUAUAUUUUUUGAGGAUGGGUAAAUUUUCCCUUCAGAUUAAAGAGGAAUGUUGCUCAGGUGCUCUGACUUUCUGAUACUGGGCUGGCUUUUUCUGUGAGCCUCCCUUUAUACUACUGGGAUUUCUGGCCAGAGUAGCACUCAGCAGAAAUAUCUUAAAUUUAGAAUUUCCUUUGAUAUAUUUAAGAAAGGUAUUUCCAUCCAAUUCAAGCUUUUAUAAUUACAUCUUAAAUGAUUAUAAACCAUACCAGCACUGCAGCCUCCUUUCCCCUUACCUUUGGGCAGUAAGAAAAAUGUGGCCAGUCCUACCCUGGAUUGCAUGACACUCAGACCUGACAGGGCUGGUUCUGACCUGGAGGGACUUGUGAGAGUGUCACAGUCCAUGCAUGCCAACUGUUGAGCCUUCCCACCUAGAGAAGUGCUUGUUGAUGGGGAGUCUAGCCAGGCCUAUGGCAUGCAGCUGCAUCCGAUAAGGACCCUAUGCCCUCCGUGGUGUUUCUGUGUCCCAAGGCCUCCAUGGCCUGCUACAGUUGUAGUGAGACUUCUGUUUACUGGAUGGCAAGCAGUAGUCACUUCUGAUUGUGGCAACACUGGGUGUAUGGGGGGCACCUCCUCUUAUGGCCAUGUGAUCCAGGUUCCCUUGUCUCAGCAGGACCCUCAAAUAGCUACUGGUAAGGCUUCAAUGGCUUCUCUGCAUUGUAGACUGACAGAACAGGCCCCAUUUCACACAGCAUAGGGACCCUUCUCCUCCCAGGGCCAGGCUCUUGGCAGCCAUGCCAAACCAUUGCUGGCAUGGAUUCCCGGCGUUCUUGGUCGAGCGCAUGGCAUCGGAAUGCUACCUGCUUUGUCUCUGGCGUCAGCUGGCAAGCAGUCACGUGGCCGUAUGCGUGAGGCCAGAGCUACUAGAGACCAGAGAUGCCUCCCGGGCAGCUUCCUCAUAGAUCGCUCUGCCUAUCUUCUUCUUGGACUUCAGCAUGACUGUCUGAGCAGGCAGAAAGCAGAAUAAAACUAGUAGGCUGCCCAGGGAAGGCCAGAUCUAUGUGGUUUGCCUGGCCACCCUUUACCUGAGUCACCAUGGACAGAGAAUCCCUCACCAUGUCCUACAUGACGAGGAGUUAGUUGGCCCAUGGUCAAUGGUUCCCCCACCAUCCCUGGUGGCCGAGCUGGCCCUGUGGUGCCUAGGUAUCUGAGGACAGAUGGCAUAUGCUGCUCUCCCAUAGAUUCAUUGCAUUUCUCCAUGAGUGCCUCUGAUGUCAUAUAAAGGGCUCAAAGUGACAUGGAGCUGAGAGGACAGUCAAGCAGAUCUAGCAGGGGCAGGCACCUGUAGGAGAAGGUGGCUGAAUCUGAUAAUUUCAGCAAAGUCGCCCGUCGGGCCCUUAGCCCCUCUGGCUGUUUCAGAGGGCUGCAGCAUAGGAUUAGGUUUCCAAGGCAGUGACAAGGAGUGGCUUUAGUUACACUGAAGGAUCUAGGAGAACAGAGGUGGUGUGUUUCAGCUCUACCCUGGCACUCCUCCUCGUUCUUGGCUGCUUGGUCACUCUGGGAUCCUCUUGGCUCUCCCAGACAUCGGGUACUGUGGACAGUACCCAGCGCCAGGCAUACUGUCCACAUCCCAUCAACUACAAGUUGGAGACAUAAUCCCCCUCGUUAAUUUAGGUGAGAAAAUAGAGGCUGAGAACUUAGCCAAAUUCAAACCCAUAGUCCAGACUCCUGACUGAGGCAGCUCUAGCCUCCAUGAUUAGGAUAGGUCACGCUAAGAGCCCUGGUCAGCGGGUAGCUGGAAUGGGAGCCCUGGCUCUCCCAUAGGAGAACAGCCGAGUGCCAGUCACCUCCUGCUACUCUGUAGAACCCGGCAUAGGAACAAUGCGGCCUCUAUCUGGAGCAGUUCGGGCAGCCUGGAGUCCAGGCCCCUCAGCACGGCUUGGCUAGCCAGGCAGUCGCAACAUGGCGCCAGGGCCACCCUGCCCAUCUACAGGGCUGGCUGUCGCCUGGGCUGGGGCUGAGCUGGUAUUCCAGACGUUCUCAGGCUAGCUGCUGAAUGGUCAGGCACUAUGGUAUCCUCCCUCCUCUCCCUGUCGUCCAGCCUCCGCCUUUUUUUGGUGGUGGGUUUGGGGGCCCGGCCCACCCGCCUCUGCCACGUCUGCCAUCCUCCAGGCACCCACGAGCAUCUUUCGAAAAUUCCCGGUGGGCGGGGCCGAGCUGUAGCGGCCGCCUCUGCCCCCCCCUCCCUGGGAGCCAGUGCCAGAUGAGAGAGAGCAGGAGACAAAAGUAGCAUUUUCCUCGUCCUCCUAGGCUGGCAGCAAGGCCUUCCCCCAGCACUUGCUCCUGGCAUUCUUAACCCCGGGUGCCAGAGUAGCCAAGGCCCAGGCCAGGACCCACGGACUGAUGGACGCUAAAGCCCAGGAAGCCCAAGGGCCUGUCCGGCAGAGACUGGCACCUGGGGACAGCCUUCAGGCUGGUGGGAGCCCUCUUACUCAGCCAGGGCAGGGGACAUCGUUUUCACUUCCUGGCUUUUGAGAAAGUGACCCUGUCCUUCAGUUCCUUGGCUUGUACCUGUCAUGGUGGAGAUGUUAGCGGACAGUGGACAUGGAACAUUGAUGAACUCCUCCACAGCGGGCUAGGAGUGAAUGGGAACAGGAAGCAGAGGCCUACCCAACACCAGAAAGCUCAGUUAAUGGAGCAUGUCCUUGCCCAAUCAUUGCUUCCUUGCUGUACUUUGGAGCCUCAGAACAUUACCAAAGCACCUGGAGAGGCGGAGAAAUCAGAGAGAUUCAGCCAGCUGAGCGGUUAGUUCAAGAACCAGGCCCCGAUGGCCCUUCCUCCAAAGUUCCUACAGGUCAGCUAUGUUUUUCACUAGUGUGUGCCCAUCCAUGGAUGUGUAUUGAGGUCUUUGCAGGGAAAGGUGCAUAGGGGUAUGUGUGCGUGACAUGCAAACACAUACAUGGGUGUCUAUUUUCCCAGUGGCUAGCAUUCAGACCUGGCCCAGGUACUCGUAAUAGAUGGGCAUUUUCCAACAAGGUGGGCAGUGCCUUUUAGAUAUUGUCUCUCUUCUUCUUUAAGUGGACCAUGUAGCCCUUUGUACACCUUUUAAUGACUGUAGUAGACAGCCCAUCACUAUCCCUAGGGGCCUGAUAUGAGCCCCCUUCCCUAGGCUGGGGGGAGUUGAGGUGGGGUGGGAUACAAUCAGUCCCAGAGCAAAGACAGUCAGAUGUAGUUAUCAGGUCCAGGCAAAGCCCAGACCGCCUUCUCCCUGUGUGGAUGGACAGUUCCAGGCACCGGCCAUUUGCAGACUUGGAGGAAUGAGAGCCUCUGGGCCCAGCAGAGGAAAUGGCGGCCCAGAGCGGGAGAAUCUAGGAAGGCGGGCCGAGGGCGGGGAGCUGCCCGGAAGUCCUGCUAUUGCUGCUGGUCAGCUGCUAGGGGCCUUCUUCCAAGGAGCCACCCACAGGGCUGGGCCUUCCCAGGCAGGUCUGUAUGUGCCUACAUGCAUGCUGGGCCCGGGGCAGGGCUUGCUCGUCAGGAACACUGUACAACAGAAGGGUUAGAUGAGAUGGGACUGAAGCCUGGCAUACCUUCUGACAGGUCUUGGAGCUUGAUUUUUAAAAAGAGGGUUACAGCACCAGUCUCAGACUCCGGAGGAAGCCCAUGAAUUGUCUUUAUUAACCUCAUUGUGCCCUAGUAGGAAGAUAUAGGAAGCCCGGAUUUUUAAGUGAGGUACUCUUUCACCUCAGCCUUAGUGUUCCCCCUCUCAAAAUGGGAGGCCAUCAGGCACAGGGGCUACUUAUGAAAUUAAAUAACUAGGAUGGGAUGGGACAUUUGACCUGUUGCAGGGUUGUUGAUGGGCAGCAGUUACGGGUGGACCAUGGGAAAGAGUCCUUAGCAUUGGGCCUUGUGACUCUCUAGGCUUUGGAUUUGGGUAGGGGAUGCAGGCUAGAGCUGGGGUGCUCAGGAGGUAGCCUGGCCAUACUAGUAUGUACGGGAACCUCUGGCCCAGUUUCCUGGGCGCCCAGCCCUGCGCAGGAUUCCUGGGGUGGGUGUGCCUAUGUUUCUGGCUUAGGCGUGGGUGGAGGGAUCCUGAGAUCCUGCCUGUUCUCGCCCUGCCAGGGCUCAUAGGAUGAACCUCACCUGGGCCUGGGCUUUCAAAGUCCCUGUUAGUAGCCCAGUCCAUCUGCCAGGUGCUAGCAUGUUUGACCUUCUGAUAGAUGUCUUCAGAGUCCAACAUGGCUGCUAUCAGUGUCAGGGAGGCACUCCACCCAGCCCAGGCCUUUUCUGCGGCUGUAGAGUGAGUCAUCCAAUGCCAGUAUAUUGGGAGACUCAGCACCCGAGGGCUGGAGCAUGGGGAUCUCAGGCCUGCAUCCAGAGUACUCUGGUCAAUGCCAGGCACCUCAAAGUGGGCACUCCCAAGACCAAACAUGCAACUGAGACCUCAGCUAGGUGCCAAGGUAGCAAAGGCAUGGCCACUAAAGUCAGUGUCCAGCUGCCAAGAAAGGGGAUAAGACCAGGUGGGCAGGCCUGGUUGGAGACCUCGGCAGCUAAAAGCCCCUGUCUUGGCCCAGGUGAGAGCUUGGCCACAGUAGGAGUUUCCCAGAGAGCAUUAGUACAGUUUAGAUAUCACAAACAUGUCUUACUCUUUGUGACUUGGAGAACUGAUUUUGCAGAGUACCCACUACAUACUAGGCCCAGGCUGGGACUUUUUUCAUGCAUUUUUUUAAAAAAAAGUGUCCAUUUUUUAAAAACAGCAUCCAUUUUUAACUUGAAUCUAUCCGAUCUGAUUUCAUCUCAACAUCUGACCAGGGCCCGUUCGGAACUAGUCAGAAUGUAGAACAAACAGAACACAGUCCCUGCCUUAGUGGAAGACAUCUCGGUCCAGUGAGGGGUGGAUGUCAACAUUUCUCUACAAGAAAAUAGAGGUGCAGAGAGGCCGAGGAACUUUCCCAUAGUCACACCAAUAAGAAAGAAUCUUACCUUUGGCCUGGAGUUCUGCUACAGAAAGGAGUCAUCCUGGAGCUCCAGGCCAUGUAGGUUUUAGGGUGCUGAAGACCUUUCCCUAACAAAACUACCAUCACCCCUAUGCUGAAGCCUGUAGGUCAGAAGGGUCUAGGACAUUGCCCUAGGAGUCCCCAUACCUUCAUGGUCUAAUGUGCUGUGAACCAUACUCAGAGGGAACAUGUUGUUGUUCCCCAUGGCCCUGAGGCAGGGAGCUACUUGGGACUGUGGGCUUAGAUGCUAUGUCCCAGGUUGUGGUAGACUCAUAAAAUGCCAGUUCUUGAUGGUGAGUGGGGAAUGUGUCAGUUUAGAGAGCAAGGGAGCCUUCUGUGAAUCCCAGCAGGCCAUCAGUUGGUGUGGCCCACCCUGGGGGCUUGAGUCCCCAAGCCACAGAGUCUCUUGCAUAUCAGAGUAGAGCCAAGCUCCCUCCACCCUUCAGGGUCAUAUCACACAGGUUUUAGGCCACGCAGCACACCAGGCCAGGUGUGCCUGUGGGAGGAGACCCUAUUGCACCAUCCAGAGUACGAUGGAGAGGACCAUAUAGUGUUCUAGGGGUCUGCCCCCCAUUCUACCUGUACCAGCUGGCCUGAGGCACACUGACCACCACCAUGGCUGGCGUGGCAAAUGCAGAUAUCCUCAGGAAAGCCAAGCUUCCACUAAGAUGCCAUGGUCCCAAUCCCUUCUGAGCAGGCUCAGGUUAUGGGCUUGGAGCAUCUGAGGAAUCCAGGAGACUUCCUGGAGGUGGUGGACCCACAGCCCGAGUCUCUUCCCUAAAGCUGACCGCCAGGGCUAUGGCUGCAGGGCCUGAGCCCAGCCCUACUCCUGCCACGUCCCAGGGCUCCCUGCCAGGCGCCACCCCACCCCAGCCCUGUACAGGCCACAUCUGCUGCAGCAGCCACGCCAGAGCUCCACCUCCUAUCCUGUCCCCAUGGAAACCAAGUGGGGGUAGCCACUGACUGGUUUCCAUUAGAGCAGUCUGCUUUUCUGGAGCCCUGCCCCUGAGCUUCAAGGCCUCCCCAGAGACUUCUUCCUGCAUUUGCUGAGCACCACUUAGUCUGUGCCAGGGAGCCCAAGGGUCCCAGCAUUGCCCACACUGGCCGGCUUACAUCAGGGAAGUAUCAGGUGGGUCCAGGGCCCUGCCAACCCCUGGGGAUGCUCUGGGUCUUGGCAAGUUAUGGUGUUAGGACUUGGUCCUUCCUCACUGAAAACUAUCACUACAGAGAUUUUUAUGGCCCAGAGAAUCUGUGUGCCUCGAUUCCAGAGCUCCCACCCAGCCGUAGAGCCUAGGGGUCCUUUCCUAUCUUUGGGCCUUUCGUUGACCCAUCUACAAAAUGAGAGGGUCAGCAGCUUUACCUAAGUCCCUUGUAGAUAUACUUUAAAAAAGAAGGAAAAGGGGGAGGGAGGGAGAGGAAGAAAAGAAAAAGAAAACGGAAGCCACAUCAGUGCUGGCUCCUCUAAGUUCUCAGGCCCGGGGUUUUGUUUGCUUUUGGAAAAGGUUUUUAAGGAAACUUGGUCUUGGAAUGUAACAGAGAUGGUGGUUGGAGAGGCCCCAGGCCAGCCGGAGCCCUCAGCAUCUGUUUGGCACCCAGUGACCUGGCUAUGAAUGCAGCAACAGGAGGCUUCAGUCCUGCCAGCGGGUUCUGCAAAUGACUGGAGAGGUUUCUGGAGAUCAGAAAUGUAGGCUGAAAAUGAGAUCCAGCUUUUAAAACCUCGGUGGGUUCAUCCCUAGGAAGGUGGGGAGGCCUGCGAAAGGGAUACACACUGUGGCUUUGUAAAGUUCACCCAAGGGCUGUAUGUGUCUAUGGUAGCUCAACCUGGCUGGCCUUUAUACCAGUGGAAUGGUAGCAUGCUACCCUCCUUCAUGGAAUCGGGAAGCUGCAUUAGUGUAUGGGUAUAAUUCUUGUGUCACUGGCUCAUGAGAAGAUUGGCUCCUGGCUACUGGUGAGGGACCAUUGAAGCUGCUGGUACUACCAAGGCUACUGAGUUCUACCCAUGUUGGUCCCACCCCAACGACCAGAGCUGCUGGUAUCAGGCCAUCUAAGUCAUCAAAGCCACUUGCAUUGCUUUCUGUGCCCCAGUGUUUUCAUCUGCAAAAUAAAGACAGUGACUGGGACUCUGUGAGAGCUAGAUGAGGGGCAGGGCUAGAUAAAUGGCAGCAGGCAGUAUCUAAAUGGCAUCAGUGUGGGGUCCUUAAGAUGAGCAAAACAGGCCACACAUUCCAGUUGCUACUCCCCUUGUACUCAGACACCCUCUCUUGAUAUUGUCUGUUUCAUUCUCAUUCAGGUGCCACCCCAGCCUCACAUCCCUAGGCCACCUGGGUUUACUGGCCCAUCCCUGUGUCAGGGAAAGUAGCCCAUGACGAUGCUGACUUUAUACCUCUAAGGACGAGGGUCAUGGCAUUUUCAGUCUUCUGCCCUGGACAGGGAGGAAACUUAGAUGGGGACGGUGGCCUCUGAUGGCUAUGGUCCAGCGUGCAGACAUACAACCUGAUAGCUGUAGGCCAAAAGAGCUGGAGAAAACAGCAUGUUGGGCUUGGCCUGGACUGAUUUAGACAUCCAGGAGACUAGGAAAGCGUAGGAAAUGAAGGAAAUUUCCCCAGGGAAGGGAGAGACAAGAUAGAGGAGCUUAAGUGCCCAGAUAAUUACAAAGCACGGCCUGAUGAUUUACUGCUAGGCAGCCUGGCUCCUCUGACUGCCUCCACUACCUGUCCUUCUGGGCACCCCCAUGCCCUAGAGACCAGCCAUGGGGAAGUUAGAGAGGCAGUGGGCACUGCCCCACACCCAACUCCACAUUGUCUCCUGGAAUUGGGCUCAAAGUCAGCUCUGGAAGGAAGCACUAGAAGGGGACCAAGCUUCAUUGUGCUGGGUUCAGACAUCUGGUAUCUGGAUGGCUUCAGAGAACUUGGACCUGACCCAGCCCCUUUCCAUAGACUAAGGAAAGGGGGCUAUGACAUCAGGCCCUCACAGACAACACACUAGCCUGUACUAGUGUGUUGCAGCCACCUUCAUGGACAGCUAAAAAGCGGACCACUGCCUGUCCCUCCCACCCGAAAGAGGGCUCCCAUCCAUUCUCAGUUGAAGGCCAGUCUCCUUAGUGGAACAUUUAUUGUGGUUUGUUUUGAGACAGGGCCUCACAGUGUAGCCCUAGCUAGUCUGGAACUUGCUUUGUAGACCAGGUGGGCCUUGAGAUCCACCUGCUUCUGCUCCUGGAGUACUGGAAUUAAAGAUGUGAGUUACCAUGCCCAAGUCUUGGUGGAACUCUUAACAAGCCUUGUGUCUCCACAGCCCUGUUUUUUUGUUGUUGUUGUUUUUUGUUUUUAUUAGGACCCCGUGUCACUACCUAGAAGCCCUCCAAGCCUUGUACUCACUACCUGUACUGUGGACAUAACAACUCCAAUGGUCUUCUCACCCCUGUGUCUACACUGGGAGCUCCUUGGGUAGGACGGCUAUCACCACUCAUGUCUUACAGCCUGGCUCAGGUGUGUUUUGGGGGAACAUUCUGAGAGUGAAGGAAUUGGAAGGAAGGUUCCCAUGCCUCCAUGUAAGGCACUUGACUGGGGCCUCUCCCAGGGACUUUCUCCAGUGCCGUGAAACACAGAGCCCUCUAAGGGUAAUCUACCUGUGUGGAACCGCAGCUUAGUGAAGGUGGUUUCUCAAUACUCUGACAGGCCUGAGUGUCCCUGCAGAGAGGACAGUCCCACUGCAGCUACCUUGUUUCUCAUCAUCUUGUUUGUCAUUCACCUUCUGGGUUCUGUGAUCAACACAUACAGUAUGUCUUUGUCUAGCGAAGUGGGUAUACUGUGGCUUGAUUAUAGCUGUGUAGCAAGUGUGCACUGGAGCUCAUUGUUGACUGGUGGAUGGGAGCUGUGUAGCUAAGGGCCCAUUCCUCAUUAGCCCUGGGCCUCGGUGUCCCAUCUGCCUCACUUUAGUUCUGAUAUUGGUGGGUAACUGGAAGGUUCUAGAGUCCAGAUGGAAGCAGUUAUCGUAAAAGCAUUCCUGGGCUUCAACCUGAGACCCUGCAUCUAGUCUCCCUAGAGACCAGGAGAUAGUGCUAACCAUUUCCAUAUCACACACAUUUUGGGAAUGUGUUACCCACCAAUGGUUAGGAACAUUCACAAGGCUCCUAACGGAAACAGAUACCAUAGAAGUUCUACAAGGCCAGUAUUCCCCUUGUCCAGAUAGCUAAUGAGCACAGCAGUAGGGCCACUACCUUUAGGGUAGGGCAUUUGUGUUCUAGAGUCUUUUAUCUGAAAAAAAAAAACUGAAAAGAAACCAGGACUUGAUUUCCCAGUUAUGCUGGUAUCACAGACACUGACAUCCUUUGUAAAACUUCCUUGAGCAUUCUAGGUGGGAGUGCAGAUGGUCUUGUGUCUGGUGGUGGCUUGAUUUUUCAGAAUCAACUGGACAUGAGUGGGAACUGGUAGUUGCCAGUGGGAGAUUCUACUGAGAGUGCCUGGUGGAUGGAUAGGAAGCUCACACCUGGUUGCUUUCUCACUCCCCUAUGAAAUCCAUGUAUAUAGAAUAGGUAUAAGUGGCUGCUCUUAGACACAAGUAUGGCUUGGAGCAAACAGGUUCCCAAAGGCCAUGUACCCUGGGAGAUUCUGCUUAGCUACUUGGCUUUAGAUAGAGCUGAACUUCUCCCAGGGACAACCAUUCUGCCAACCUAGAUGAAUGGUAUGACCCCCCUGGACCUGCAGAUACAACUAAUUGUAUGGUUGUGAGUCCGGUAGGAAUGAGGCUGGGCCAGGCCUCCAGGACCUUCUGCUUGGAGUUUGGUCUGACAAAUUCAGUUCUACCUUAAUGGACCAUGAACUGUGAAAAUGGCCUAAAGUGGCCCUGUCACACCAAUAACUAUACCAUGGGACAGCUCUUAGAGACAGAGGGACAGCUUUGGGAGGCUCCUCAGCCUGAGAGGGAGCAGUACACUCUGGUUUAUUCACAAGUUCUUAGGACAGAUAAUGUAGUAUCUGUCUACCCUUGGAUUCCAGUGGGGUCCCCCUGCCCAGGUUCCUGAAGAUCACUCAGCUUUACUGUUUCAUUAUUGCCAUGGCCAGAGUGGGUGAAAAAAAAAAAGACACAGGGCCAGUGUCUGAAUUUAGAGGGGGCUCAGCAAAGCCCUCUACAGCUGGAGUCCCCCUUGAGCAGCCAUCAGAGCUUGCCAGCAACGUACAGCCAGGUGCAUUCCUGUGUUACUAAGGGUGGAACCAGGGCCCUCAGAACCACUUUGGGACUGCAGGAGCUCUAUACUGUCAGCAUGGGAAUUGUAGGCCUUCCUGUGUCUAGAGUGGGCCCGGGGUGACUUGUGUGGCCUCAGCCAUUGACCCCAUAGGGCCAUGCUCAGCCUCACCAAGGGUCUGGUCAGCAUCUCUGUUUCCCAUGGCUAAACUUCUUCAUCCUGUGUAACGUGGCUCUGUACUUGUGACCUUGUUUAGAGACAUGAAGUUGUGCUAUUUAGAAAGCAGGGGCCCUUCUGCUGGCUCUAUGGACACCCCACCAUCCUGCUUGUGGAAGUUCCCCUCUUUGAACCCAAGCAGGUACAAGCUUUACUUCUGUCCAGACUGCAGUAUCUGUAAGCAGCAGGCAGCCAUCCUGAGACCAUUAAAUUGGGCAAUCUACACCAUGGGCCAAGAAGUAGAGGGGGUUUUACUUUCCAUCCAGGCCAAAAGAAGAGAUGGGUAGGGCCUAACUGUCAGAUAAGGAUUGGAAUGACCACAGGACAGUCCCUUCUCAAGAGAUAGGGUCAGAAGCUUGGACUUAGCAGCCCUAGCCAUGGGCUCUCCUUUUCCUCUUGCCCACUAGCUUCUCUGUGACCUUCACAGCCCUGUGUGGAUGAAGAACAGCAUGAAUCUCUUGUGGGCUCCCAGUUCCACCUACAGAUACCAGCAGCCUCUGGAGAUGGAGGAGGCAAGCCAUCUUUAAUGGGUCUCAGUGCCCAGCACAUCAGUAAGGAGCCCUCCCCAGGUCCUUCUAGUCUCUAGGUUUCCAGAGUUCAAUGAAAAAUCACUCUCUGGAGAAGAAUGCUGUCACUGCUUUUGGCUUGUCCAUGGAGAGUAGCUCCCUGGUCCUAUGGUGACAAAUCCUGGAAAAGGCCACAGUUCUAAAGUGGAUACCCCGAACCUUCUUACAACCCAGAGCUCAUGGAAGUGUGGGUGCCUGAACCAUGGUGGGCUUAGGAGGGCAGGAAGGAAGCAUGCAAUUCUCUGCCCAUGGCCAAAACACCCAAGAUACAUAGGUAAGAGAGAGCCUGGGAGUCAUCCAGACUAGGGCUGACUCCUGGUCUUGGUGUCCUGUUGUUAGUCCUGGCCUGUCCCCUUUCCUGGCUCAUAAUGACUACCGAAGUUACCUCUUGGUAAUGCCCCAAAGUCCUGUUUGUAUCUCACAAAUCCCAGAUAUCAAGUGUCAUUCCCAGAGUAAGGCAAGUGGUGGGACAUUUGUGGAUGCCAGACACUGCUAGGCCCAGAGAUACAUGCUAGUUGAAGGACAUCCUUGUCUCAAAGAUCCCAAGUCUACAGGGGCAGUACAGGCAUUGUGAUGUGAGGUGUGUGUGUGGUAUGGGGGGGUCCCAGUGCUGAUGCUGUCUGAGAAUGCAGGCAGGGCUGAUUUUUUGUGGGUGAUCUAUGGUGGUAGAACAUUCUGGCCACAAGGAAUUAUGGGUACCAUAGUGGAACUGGAGCGAAGGGAGGAUCUUAGCCAGGCACUGGCAGCCAAGCCCCAUCGGCCCUUCCUCUAUAGUCACAGAGGACUCUAGGGUAGGGGUUAGGUCUUCUCUGCGAUUUGGCUGCCUAGGAGCCAGGGCAGGGAGUUGGUUUGGAAUGUGGUUCCUGGCCGGCUAGAGCUGGUUAAAGCCAGAUAUGGCUCUCUGGGCUGUUCUCUGUCUUUUGUGACCUGAAACUCCAGGCCUCCGGUGCCAAGGCCACAGUGAAUAGCUUGUGUGGAUCUUCUUGGCUGUGGGAAUAACCAAGGAAGGGAAGGCUACAUUACCUGGGACCCUUCUCUGUGUCCAAGCCACAUGACUUGCCAAACUGACCCCUCUGUUUUGAUUUCCUUAUGUCUUACAGAACAUGGCUGCUCCAGAGCCUCCCAGGAAAGUGAAAGCCUGUCACAUGUACCAGAAGACCUCGUAUGACCUCACACACAGGCUUCAGCCGCUUCUUGACAAUUCUCCCAGGUGACCCCUGAAGUUCAAGGACCAUGUCCAACCCAGGCCCUGCCCUGGAUUCAUGUGGACUGGUCCCUGACAGAGGCCUGAACACUUGGCUGUAGAUCAAAAGCAGCAUAUCCCAGAGUGAUGCCAUAUGAUGCCAUCCAGGUCCACAGAACCCCCAGCAGCCCUGGGCCAUUAUCAUACUGACAGCUCAUUCCAGCUUCACAAGGUCAGGAAGUGAUGCCAAGCAGGAGCUUCUGUGUGCAGCUGAUACCCCUGUGGUGAGUGGGGCCCCACUGGCCUUCCUUGGGAGAGCUAGGAGCUAUGGGAGACUUCAGAGUGAGAAAGACUAGGGUCCAAACCACAUCUCUGCCACUGCUCCAGGGCCCCAGCUUAGAUGCCUUUACCUGGAGGCCUGCGCUCCCCACCCCAGGACUGUGCCUCCCACCUGGAGACUACCCCCAGAAAGUUCAUCUCAUCUACCCAUGAUGCACUGUGAUAUGCCCAGGCUGGACAGUGGUUUAACAGAGCUGCAGUUCUAUUUGUUAUUGGCUCUGAAUGGAAGAGGCACAGCCUCUCUACCCUGAGUCUACACUGUCUACAGGCUCACACCCUUCAGGUCACCCAGCCUUGAGAGGUAUCUGGAAACCUCAGAGACAGCUCUCUUCUCUCUCUCCCCCAAUGGCCAUCACUCAGCCCUCCAGUGUGAUCCUAAUACCCCCAUGCCAACUGGCAUUGAUGGAGGACCUGCCAGGAGAAUCAUGCCUGGAGUGAGAAGGCCACAUGAGGGAAACAGAGUCACAUCUGUUUCCAGGUUGGGCUAAGGCACAGAGGGUAGUGGCCAUGGUCAAGGAGGGACCAGGAUGCUUGUCUCCCGUUAUUUCUGUCCUACAGCUUGAACCCUGCAUGACUUGUGUUGCAAUGAAGCCCAAACUCGGGGAGGGAAGGCAGGGGCAGGUGCAAGACAGGCACUUUUGGGGCUGUCACAGUGGCACACACUAGCCUCCUGCUGAUUGCUCACUAGAGUGGCCAAGGAACUGCUGAGAAUCUCCAACAGUCAGCUAAAGGGACCCCCACAGAAAUGCAAGGUGUGCCUAGAGUCACCCAUUGAGGAGGCAGCCCUUCCAGGCAGUCCUGCUCACAAUACUGUAUCCUGCCAGCCAGGCACAGAACCCAAAGCAUUGAGAGGCCCGUGUCAAAGUGUGCAUCCUGGUAACUGACAAGGUUAACCAUGGCCUGUCAGUGACACCUCCAUCUUCCUACCUGGUCCACUCAUCAUAGAUAGGGAACAUCGGGGGGGGCCCUGAGCCACUCUCUUCCAAUGCAUCUUCCUGCCUUGCUGGCUCUGCUUGGACCAUCCUUGGGGAUAUUUGUCCUUUCUGAUCAUGAAAGGGUCCAGGCUUGAGGCAGGGAAUAGCACCCCAGUGGCUCACAUAGAGGUCCUUCUGGGGCUGGACAGUGCCAACACACCGAGGGCCAGGCCACACUAGCGCUCUGGGACCUUGUUUCCAUGCCACUCUGCCUCAUAGCCUCUAGAUCUGGGUACAUAAUGUGGACUUCAGCCUAAUGGCUCCAGGAUCCUCACACUUCUCCUGUGACCCCUGUCUGGGAGGGAGCAGGGAGGUAGGCAGGCGUGGCAUCAGGUGCUGGGGCUCCUGCAGAGAGCAAAAGCUGCCUGGCUUCCUGGGACUGGGCACAGAGCUUCCCUCUGCAUUGCUGGGCACACCUGUCUGAGGCCUGAAAGACACAGCCCCUUCCCUUCUGAGAGCAGAACCACCUGGGGCUAGAGACUGUGAGCCUUCUGAGCCUCAGUUUCUUCACAGUGAUUGGGCCUCACAGCUGGAGGGUUAGAUGACUCCACCCAGCCUGGUGCCUGCCUAGGAGAACUGGAGAGAGGCCUGCAGUGGAGUCUCCAAGUUUGUGUUGGUACUGGGGAGCAGAGAGCUACAGAAGCUUCUUACAAGGUGGGAAGAUUGCUCCGGUACAAUGCUACUGCUCAGCUGGGAAGGCUGUAGGCCUUGCUUAUAAGAUGGGCUUACAAUACAUUUGCCCAAGACUCCCCAGCUCGUGGCUGUGAGUAUCAUCAUCCACACCAGGCUGUCUGUCUUUACCAGGGCAUCCUCCCUGCUGGGCUCUGUCCAAGGCUCUGGGAGCCCCAAGCUUAGAGCCAAGCACGGAGCCCUGCUGGCUUCAGGAAGUGCUAGUCGCCAAGGACAGACUGAACAUCAGUGUCCAGCCAGGGUCCGCACUUCCGCCCAGCUGGCCACCAUGGGGAGCUAGACUGCCUCCCACAAGGAAAAAAAAUGGUUUUGAGUCUCCCCCAGCAAGGUCAGCUCAGGCCACUCUGGGGGGAGGCAGGGAAAAAAAACAGAGCCCUCAAGGAGGGGCUUUUCCUGUGUAAGAGGAGGGUGCAUGCCCAAGGCCACUGCCUAGCUGGAGUCCUGGUGCCUCCAUCUCUGCUUAUGCUAGAGCUGAGUGCACAGAGCCCGGGUCUCAGCCAGGUGGACACUAGGAGCUCCCUGGACCUGACUGCCUUUGACAAGUGACUCCCUUCCCCCAUUGUGGCCAUUCCUGCCUAGUGACUGGUCAACUUUUCCUCUCUUCCCCCCACCCCCCACUUCCCUCAUUGUCUCUGCUUGGUGAUUUUGCCUAAGUGUCUGGCCCACUUUGGGGGAAUCCUAGUCCACUGCUGGCUGAUACCCUUAGCACCAAGCUGGCCGUGUUGGGCCCCUCACCUUGUUCCCAGCUCUCCUUCUUCCUCUAGGAGGCAUCUCAAGAAGCCAUAGCAUCCAGCUCUACACCAAGACUGACUGACGGCCUUUGGGGUGAGGUAGUAGGUUGUAUGGUUUUGGGCUCUGCCCCGCUCUGCGGUAACUAUACAAUCUACUGUCUUUCCUGAAGUGGCCGCAAUAUCUGCAAUGGACACAGCGCCAGCCCUGGCUGGGGAGGCCGAGGGAGGUACAGGGAAUGGUAGCUGCCAUGCACAAAGAACUUUUGACAAGGACCUUGGACAGUCCCUUGACCUCUCUGGGGUGUGGGGAUGAAAGCAGACGUGGCAUUUCCAGGGCACCUCCUCUCCCUUUACCACACUGAAGGGACUUUCCUUCCCCUGACCCCAUCAUAUUAGGCCUGGGCUCACAGGCCUCCAAAAGGAAAGGGUCCGGACUGGACCUUCAGCUCUGUUUCAGAGCUGCGACACUCAAGGUCAGGCCUCUGAUGAAUGGUGGCAUGUCCAUCUCCAUAGAGACAGGGCAUUUUUUACACAAAAGAAGUGAGAGGAAGGUUCUUAGCAUGCUUGGGUACCCCGUGGACACAGCCUGCCCCUGGACUGUAUAGGCCACUGUCCCUGGGGUGAUGGGUUCAGACCCUGGAGACUUCCCUGAUCCAUCUGGUGGGUACAAGCAUUUCUUGCUGAGCUACUGUCUCUGCUUCCCCACCUGCCCUGUGCCAGCUGUGCCCUAUGGCUCUGGUAGCCUGUGGCCAGGGUGGGUGGGGAGCAGCUGGGCCUCCUCCAGAACAUGGACACCGCAGGGUGAGGUAGUAGGUUGUGUGGUUUCAGGGCAGUGAUGUUGCCCCUUAGAAGAUAACUAUACAACCUACUGCCUUCCCUGAGGGGCCCAGGGACACAUCCACUUGGAGGCCCCUGCUCAGCAAGCCACGCGGAGAGCCUGUGCCGUAGAUUGGAUGGGGGCUGCAUUGUGGGGCCUGGAUAAAAAUAAAGGCUGUUGUGACAUGAA